CCGCUGGUGUACCAGUUGUCUUGCCAAAGGCAUCGCUGGGUAGCUAUGUAGGGAACGGAUAAACGCUGAAAGCAUCUAAGUGUGAAACCAACCUCAAGAUGAGAUUUCCCAUUCUUUAUGAAUUAAGAGCCCUGAGAGAUGAUCAGGUAGAUAGGCUAGAAGUGGAAGGACAGUGAUGUUUGGAGCGGACUAGUACUAAUAGCUCGAGGACUUUACCUA
rnacentral:rRNA from 1 species